GAUGAACGCUAGCGGCAGGCUUAAUACAUGCAAGUCGAGGGACAGCACAGGUAGCAAUACUGGGUGGUAACCGGCAAACGGGUGCGGAACACGUACACAACCUUCCUUUAAGUGGGGGAUAGCCCAGAGAAAUUUGGGUUAAUACCCCGUAAUAUAGUUGAAUGGCAUCAUUUGAUUAUUAUAGCUAAGGCGCUUAAUGAUGGGUGUGCAGCUGAUUAGAUAGUUGGCGGGGUAACGGCCCACCAAAUCUACGAUCAGGAGCUGAUGUGAGAGCAUGAUCAGCCACACGGGCACUGAGACACGGGCCCGACUCCUACGGGAGGCAGCAGUAAGGAAUAUUGGUCAAUGGACGCAAGUCUGAACCAGCCAUGCCGCGUGAAGGAUUAAGGUCCUCUGGAUUGUAAACUUCUUUUAUUUGGGACGAAAAAGGGCCUUUCUAGGUCAACUGACGGUACCAGAUGAAUAAGCACCGGCUAACUCCGUGCCAGCCGCCGCCGUAA
rnacentral:rRNA from 1 species